UCUAAAAAAUAAUAGAUAGUUUGCAUAAAAACAAAAAUAAACUAACGGUAGAUUGAGAUGUGAACUCACAGAUGAUUGUUAAGAUCGAGUGAACCACCGUUAAAACAAAUAAGAUAAACAAUUUCUUGUCCUUCAUCUACUCCAUUGGAGGAUGAGGAAGAGUUUCUUCCACUUCAGUAUCAAAAGCAUUGAUUCUGAUCAUUUGAGAUUUAAAUAAAAUGCUAUCAACACCAAUCGUCGAUAUUAUUAGUUGUCAAAUCGGUUGCAUUUGUUGUUCUUCGGGUUGAACUACUGAAUAUUUAUUUAUUUUUGUUUAAAUUUUAUUUAUGUUAGUAAAUCCUAUUAAUGAGAAUUCAAUGGUGUUUGUUAUCCUAACAACUAUGAGUCGUGGUUGUUAAUUAUAGUAAGUUUUUUUGGGAGGAUCGACCAACGCUCUUUU
rnacentral:lncRNA from 1 species